GACGUCGACGGAUCGACACCGGCUGACCAGGAUGGUCGCCAAGGACAGUCGCAGGAUGCGGCUUCAUCAGGAUGAUGAGUCGACGGAAGAGAAGACGACGUAAAACAAAAACGGCGAGGCUCCCCCCCUCGCCGUUUUUGU
rnacentral:sRNA from 1 species